GAGCUCUGUGGACUAGAGAUGUUUCUCAUGGUUUUUCAGUGAGUUCUUAGGGGCCCCAGCCUCUCAGGCAGCUUAUCAUGACUUUCCCUCUGAGCUGAUGAGAUCGGACAUC
ensembl:misc_RNA